rnacentral:ribozyme from 13 species
AGAGAAAGAAAAAAGAAAGAAAUAAGGAAAAGAGAAAGAGAAACCUGUUCCUAAAUCCAUCAUCAUUUUACAGUAUUUUUCUCCCUCUUUUCUCAUUUCUAUUGCU